AUUGAACGCUGGCGGCAGGCCUAACACAUGCAAGUCGAACGGUAACAGGAAGCAGCUUGCUGCUUUGCUGACGAGUGGCGGACGGGUGAGUAAUGUCUGGGAAACUGCCUGAUGGAGGGGGAUAACUACUGGAAACGGUAGCUAAUACCGCAUAACGUCGCAAGACCAAAGAGGGGGACCUUAGGGCCUCUUGCCAUCGGAUGUGCCCAGAUGGGAUUAGCUAGUAGGUGGGGUAACGGCUCACCUAGGCGACGAUCCCUAGCUGGUCUGAGAGGAUGACCAGCCACACUGGAACUGAGACACGGUCCAGACUCCUACGGGAGGAAGCAGUGGGGAAUAUUGCACAAUGGGGGCAAGCCUGAUGCAGCCAUGCCGCGUGUAUGAAGAAGGCCUUCGGGUUGUAAAGUACUUUCAGCGGGGAGGAAGGGAGUAAAGUUAAUACCUUUGCUCAUUGACGUUACCCGCAGAAGAAGCACCGGCUAACUCCGUG
rnacentral:rRNA from 1 species